AUAAAGGGAGUCCAUGUAUUUAGACAGCAGGUCGGUGCCCCUAAAAGCAGGUAUCCGCUAAAGAGUGUGUUAAAACUCACCUGCCGAAUACUAGGGCCCCGAAAAUGAAUGGCGCAUAUAGUACUACCGAUCUCAGACAUCAGUUCUAUUGAACUGAGAGUAGGGGGAUGUGGACAUUUUUGUGAAGGUGCAAUGUGAGUUGGACUGGAAGAAUGUCUAUUACAGAUCCUAAUUGAAGUAGCGAUUAUCCAGGCUUGUAUCCUGGGGGCUGAUGAGGAGUAGGGUUUCUGGACAACUUAAACAGAUCCAGAGUUAGUCGAUCCUAAUCUCAAUAAUGGGAGAAAGGGAGUACAGUUGAUAUUCUGUAACUGACAACAGUUCGCGGCAACGCAUACUAUUUUUCUCCGCCAAUCUUAUACCGUUGGUAGGGAUCUCUUUCCUACAUGACAGUACUAAUACCCAGGGAAACUGGUCAUCAGGCGAACUGCGGCGUUCUGCUGGCAAAACAUAGCUUCGGUUAUGUCAAUGGCUAUUGGAUUGGUCCAUGAAGCGAAAAAUAGUUUACUGUGUCACUCGUACCGAUAACCGCAUCAGGUCUUCUAGGUAAGUAGCCUAUGGCCAUUGAGGCAUGAUAGUUCAGGGAAUUCGGCCAAUUAGAGCUGUAACUUCGGGAUAAAGCUUGGCUCUGAUGAAAAUCAGAACCGAUUGUUACGCGGAGAGCCCAACUGUUUAAUAAAAACGUAGUGUCGCGCUGUGGUAGUAUAGCCAGUGAACGCGACAUGAAUCCUGCUCAGUGCUGUGUCUGUUAAUAUGGUUCAAGCCAACGAAGCACCGGUAAAUAGCUGGGGUAACUAUGACUCUUAUCAAAGUAGCGAAAUACCUCGUCACUAAAUUAGUGACCUGCAUGAACGGAGCUAUGAGGUUCUCACUGUCCCAAACUGUCUCUCAGCGAACCAACUG
rnacentral:ncRNA from 2 species